CUCAGGAUGAACGCUGGCGGCGUGCCUAAUACAUGCAAGUCGAACGAAUCUCUUUUAGAGAUGAGUGGCGAACGGGUGAGUAAUACAUAGGUAACCUGCCCCUGUGCGGGGGAUAACAGGAGGAAACUCCUGCUAAUACCGCAUAGCCAUGAGCACCGCAUGGAGCUCAUGCCAAAUAUCCUUUAUGGGAUAGCGCAGGGAUGGACCUAUGGCGCAUUAGCUGGUUGGCGGGGCAACGGCCCACCAAGGCAACGAUGCGUAGCCGGCCUGAGAGGGCGGACGGCCACAUUGGGACUGAGACACGGCCCAGACUCCUACGGGAGGCAGCAGUAGGGAAUUUUCGGCAAUGGGGGAAACCCUGACCGAGCAACGCCGCGUGAGCGAAGAAGGCCUUCGGGUCGUAAAGCUCUGUUGUAAAGGAAGAACGGCGCAUACAGGAAAUGGUAUGCGAGUGACGGUACUUUACCAGAAAGCCACGGCUAACUACGUGCCAGCAGCCGCGGUAAUACGUAGGUGGCGAGCGUUAUCCGGAAUCAUUGGGCGUAAAGAGGGAGCAGGCGGCCGCAAGGGUCUGUGGUGAAAGACCGAAGCUAAACUUCGGUAAGCCAUGGAAACCGGGCGGCUAGAGUGCGGAAGAGGAUCGUGGAAUUCCAUGUGUAGCGGUGAAAUGCGUAGAUAUAUGGAGGAACACCAGUGGCGAAGGCGACGGUCUGGGCCGCAACUGACGCUCAUUCCCGAAAGCGUGGGGAGCAAAUAGGAUUAGAUACCCUAGUAGUCCACGCCGUAAACGAUGGUCACUAAGUGUCGGGGGUCAAACCCCGGUGCUGCAGUCAACGCAAUAAGUGACCCGCCUGAGUAGUACGUUCGCAAGAAUGAAACUCAAAGGAAUUGACGGAAGGGCGAA
rnacentral:rRNA from 1 species